rnacentral:rRNA from 1 species
UAGUUUCACAUUUUUUAUAUCGCCGUCUAAAUGAGAGAUAGACACUUUUCUUUAGUAAAAUUUUUAAAUUAAUAAGUCAGGUAAAGAUGAAGAUUACAGAAAAGUAAACUUGUAAAUCAGAAAAUCUUAAGUGAAAAUGGACUUGAAAAAGACUAAAAAUGAAUUUAAAAGUAAAAAAAUUUGAUUAUAAUUUUUUGAAAAUUGUAAAUGAAAGUGUACACAUCGCCCGUCGCUC